CACGUGAUUUUGCCAGAACGAAUCAAGCUUCGAUACAAAGCUUCAAUGAAAAUGGGUUCAUUUUUUUGACACACACCUCGGAGCUUCGGUGUCCCUGGUAAUAUGUGAGGCAACCCAAAUGUCGAGGCAAAAUGGCCAGGAUCUGUGAAUGAUGCCAGAAUUUUCCACGAGUCAUCAUUAUGCCAGACAUUUCAGCAGGGACAGUACAAUGGUUACUUGCUGGGGGACAGAGGAUACCCUUGUCUGCCCUAUUUAAUGACCCCUUACCCUGAACCUGAGCCUGGACCACAGACACGGUUUAACCUGGCUCUCAUGAACACCUACAGAUUUUAGAGGCCAACAGAGACGGAAGACUUUUGAGAGACAUUAUCUGUCAAUUACUUUUAUUAAUUUUUUGCACUGGUCUGCCAGGCAGGUUAUUUCUUUAUUUCCUGAAAAACAAUAAAAGUAAAAUUCAAUAAAAUGUUUUUUUAUAUUGCUUUACACAUACAUACACACACCACUUUCCACAUGCAACAGAUUAAAGUUCUCACCUUAAGGCGAUGCUCCAGU